rnacentral:rRNA from 1 species
GAUGAACGCUGGCGGCGUGCCUAAUACAUGCAAGUAGAACGCUGAAGGAGGAGCUUGCUCUUCUGGAUGAGUUGCGAACGGGUGAGUAACGCGUAGGUAACCUGCCUGGUAGCGGGGGAUAACUAUUGGAAACGAUAGCUAAUACCGCAUGACAACUGUUAUUGCAUGAUAACUGUUUAAAAGGGGCAACUGCUCCACUACCAGAUGGACCUGCGUUGUAUUAGCUAGUUGGUGAGGUAACGGCUCACCAAGGCGACGAUACAUAGCCGACCUGAGAGGGUGAUCGGCCACACUGGGACUGAGACACGGCCCAGACUCCUACGGGAGGCAGCAGUAGGGAAUCUUCGGCAAUGGACGGAAGUCUGACCGAGCAACGCCGCGUGAGUGAAGAAGGUUUUCGGAUCGUAAAGCUCUGUUGUAAGAGAAGAACGAGUGUGAGAGUGGAAAGUUCACACUGUGACGGUAUCUUACCAGAAAGGGACGGCUAACUACGUG